rnacentral:rRNA from 1 species
GUUAGGAAUAUUGGACAAUGGGCGCAAGCCUGAUCCAGCCAUGCCGCGUGAACGAUGAAGGCCUUCGGGUUGUAAAGUUCUUUAGCCGAUGAUUAUAAUGACUGUAGUCGGAAAAUAAGCCCCGGCUAACUUCGUGCCAGCAGCCGCGGUAAUACGAAGGGGACGAGCGUUAUUCGGAAUCACUGGGCGUAAAGCGUGCGUAGGCGGUCUCGUAAGUUAGGAGUGAAAGCCCAGGGCUCAACCUUGGAAUUGCUCUUAAAACUGCAAGGCUAGAAUCUCGGAGAGGAUAGCGGAAUUUCCAGUGUAGCAGUGAAAUGCGUAGAUAUUGGAAGGAACACCAGUGGCGUAAGCGGCUAUCUGGACGAGUAUUGACGCUGAGGCACGAAAGCGUGGGGAUCAAACAGGAUUAGAAACCCGGGUAGUC